rnacentral:lncRNA from 1 species
ACACAAACUUUUUUUCCUUCUUCUUUAAAUAUAUUCCUGUUUGGUCACACAUUUAUUCUAAUCUAAGUUUCUCUGUAGAGAGUCGUUGUCUGCUGUUUAUUGUGCAUAUGGAUGGUUAAAAAUGAAUUUAAAAUUCUCAGCUCUUGCAAACCAACUGCAAAGACAAAGAAUGACAGCCAAAUGGGGAGGAUAGGUGUCCCAUGAGAACAUCUCACAGAAUUGCUAACCGAUAUGCCCUGCAGUAUCAGAAUCUAUUGAUGUCGUUUCUAAGCUGAGCUCCACUGCCAUUUGCUAUUUAUUUUGGCAAGCAGUGAAACCAUCAAGAAUGUGCUGAUUCAUCACCCCUUUGAUAGGAGAUCAUGGGGCACAGGGGACAGUUUGGUGAGUAGACUUCACACUGUACUGUUUCUUUUUUUCCCCAGAAGGAAUGGUUUAUCAUUAAGAAGCAGGGAAAUGUGACAGAAAAAAAAAUGGCCUUGAUUAUAGACAGUUUUUUUCUCACCCCAGUUCUGUUAAAAAUUCUCCAUGUAUAGGCUGGGAUAGUCAAUUUUAUGUGACAACUUAACUGGAUCAUAGGUUGUCUAGAUACUUGGUCAAGCAUCAUUCUAGGUGUACCUAUGAGGGUGUUUGUGGAUGUCAUAAACAUUGGAAUCAGUAGACUGAGUAGAGCAGAUUGCCCUUCCUCUGGUGGGUGUACACUAUCAUCUACUCAGGUGAAGACCUGAAUAGAACGAAAAGUUAAAGGGAGGAAGAAUUCACUCUCCUCUCUCUGAAGGCCUGAGCUGGAACUUUGGUCUUCUGCUGUCCUCAGACUGGAAAUUAUACCACUGAUGCUUCCGAUUCUCAGGCCCUUAAACUCAGGCUGGAAUCAUGCAACUGGUUUCUUUGGGUCUUCAACAUGCAGAGAUCAAAUUAUAGGAUUUCUCAGCAUCCAUAAUCAGCAUGGAUGGCUAUAACACAUUACCAUAAGCUGGGUCGCUGAUACACAACAAAAAGUUGAUUUCUCACAGUUCUGGAGGCUGGAAAGUCUCAGGUCAAGGCAGCAGCAAGCAGGUUUACUGUCUGGUGAGUGUGUACUUCCUGGUCAUAUAUGGUUUCUUUUCAUAAUGUCUUCAGAUGGUAGAAGGGCAGUUCUCUGGGCCUCUUUUAUGAGGGCACUAAUCUCUCCCAUGAGAGCUCCACCCUCAUGACCUAUCACCUUCAAGAAGCCCCACCGCUAGCCACCAUGAUAUUGGAGAUUAGGUUUCCUCAUAAAUUUUUGGGAGAUAAAAAUAUUCUGUCUCUAGCAGAU